GCACUUACCUGGACGGGGUCAAUGGGUGAUCAAGAAGACCCAUGGCCUGGAUUAGUGGCCUCCAUUGCACUUGGGAGGAGCAUUGGUCCAUCAUCUCCUUUGAUAGGAAAAUGGACGUCAUAAUUUGUGAUAGAGGGGGUACGCGUCCGCGCGGCCCCUG
rnacentral:snRNA from 1 species